GACGAACGCUGGCGGCGUGGAUUAGGCAUGCAAGUCGAACGGUAUCAUCCUUUCGGGGGUGAGAGAGUGGCGAACUGGUGAGUAACACGUAGGUUAUCUACCCUCAAGACGGGGACAACCCAGGGAAACUUGGGCUAAUACCGGAUGUGAGCAACUUUUAGUUGUUUGAAAGGUGGCGUAAGCUGUCGCUUGGGGAUGAGCCUGCGUCCUAUUAGUUAGUUGGUGAGGUAACGGCUCACCUAGGCAAUGAUAGGUAGGCGGCCUUAACGGGUGGUCGCCCACACUGGGAUUGAGAUACGGCCCAGACUCCUACGGGAGGCAGCAGUCGAGAAUAGUCUACAAUGGUCGGAAGACUGAUAGUGCGACGCCGCGUGAACGAUGAAUCCCUUCGGGUGUAAAGUUCUUUUAUAUGUGAGCAGUGCUUCUUAUAUUAACAGUAUGGGGAGAGAGAUAUUAGCAUAUGAAUAAAGCAACGGCUAACUACGUGCCAGCAGCCGCGGUAAA
rnacentral:rRNA from 1 species